rnacentral:rRNA from 1 species
AUUGAACGCUGGCGGCAGGCCUAACACAUGCAAGUCGAACGGUAACAGGGAUCAGCUUGCUGAUUCGCUGACGAGUGGCGGACGGGUUAGUAAUGUCUGGGAAACUUCCUGAUGGAGGGGUAUAACUACUGGAAACGGUAGCUAAUACCGCAUAACGUCGCAAGACCAAAGAGGGGGACCUUCGGGCCUCUUGCCAUCGGCUGUGCCCAGAUGGGAUUAGCUAGUAGGUGGGGUAACGGCUCACCUAGGCGACGAUCCCUAGCUGGUCUGAGAGGAUGACCAGCCACACUGGAACUGAGACACGGUCCAGACUCCUACGGGAGGCAGCAGUGGGGAAUAUUGCACAAUGGGCGAAAGCCUGAUGCAGCAAUGCCGCGUGUAUGAAGAAGGCCUUCGGGUUGUAAAGUACCUUCAGCGGGGAGGAAGAGAGUAAAGUUAAUACCUUGGCUCAUUGACGUUACCCGCAGAAGAAGCACCGGCUAACUCCGUG